ACGGCAGUAAGGUCGCAAAGUUUCUACCGUGCUCCAAGAUUUCAAUUUGAAAUUGUCUGAGCCGGAAUAGUCAAGAGAGCCGUGGACGAGAGAAAGAUUACCAAAACCGUGGGAUAUAAUCUGACUUGACAGAUAAUGUGAAUCGACCUUAAAUUGUGUGCCUAUUAGUUUCUGUAAAGAGAAAGCUGAGUAUUGGGUCGCUCCAAUGAAGUGAAGAAAGCCUUAUGUUCAGUCUCUCGAGAUGCUUCCCAGUUUCUAACUCAAAGGUUCUUCCAAAGAAGGUGCUUAUUACUAAUUUCUAGAUUGCAUGAAAAACCGUUUAUUUGAUUUUUUAAGAAGAAGUUAAUGGGUUUCAAGAACAAUAAAUUUGAUAAAUAUGUA